GCUGCUCCAGUCAAGUGCAUCAGCUGAGGAGUUCCUGCGGCGUCUACCAGAAUUUGAUCAGGAAGUCGCAAAGAAACGGCUUGAUGCGGAGGCUGCUGGUGAAGUUCUGAGGUAUGUUGGGGUAGUAGAUGCUGUCCAAAACAAGGAAUGAAUGCAGGGGAUGACAUUAUAGAUGUGCAGGUGAUGGCAGUUGUGGUUGGCAUGAGGCAGAGGUGAAGGAUCUGCAAUGGGUUACGUACUCUGUUUUUAAUUCUGUUUCACGCACUAUGUUUUGCUCUGUUUCACGCACUCUGUUUUGCUCUGUUUCAGACACUAUGUUUUUUGCUCUGUUUUAAUUCGUAAAACAGAGCAAUUAAUUCUGUGUUUUUUU